rnacentral:tRNA from 1 species
AGAAGUAUAGCUCAGCCGGGAUGAGCGUUCGCAUUACACGCGAAAGGCCAUGGGUUAAACCCCCUUUACUUCCA